rnacentral:pre_miRNA from 1 species
CGAAUAAGUGAAUAAAGAGAGCUGUCCGUCGACAGUCCAGAAUUCAUUUAAUAUCACUGUCAUGGAAUUGCUCUCUUUGUAUAAUAUUCG